UGGUUUAAGGGAGGUUUCAGCACCCUGAGGUCCUGAGGAACCAGCCGGGGGAGAUCACCAGCUGCCAACAGAAGAUGCCUCUGUAUCCAAGGAACAGCUCACCUUUCCUCCUGGCAUGCUGUUCUCCACUGGCUCCCGCUGGCCAAGAAGUGAGUUGGCCUGAUAUUUUGGCAAUGGUCUUGGGUCUGUGCUCUGGUACAGGUGGUCCUGAUUCUUUGGUAGCUGCGCAGACCCUGAUGUUGAUGUGUCUGUAGCUGAUCUGAUUUAAGAUCUGGUUUCUUAGCACGAUCAAAGCCUAAGGUCUAUACAACUCUCUCUACCCUCUAUCUUGAAUCCUUCAUCCGGUCUCCUCCCCUCCUCCCCAGCCAACUUUUGCCCACCUCAGCUUUGGCUGGUGCUGUGGGUCUUCUUCGUCUCAGCGGUGACCUGAUCCAACUCUACAAGCAGUGAUUGUCCUGCUCUCCUGCUCCCUGGUCAGCCCAUUUUCACCUGGAUGCCAAUGGCUCUCAACCAGCAUCUCCCUGUAAGGCCCCCCAGAGGCCACCUGGGACCAUCUGGACCCCGAACUAUCUUGUUUGAGUCAGCCAAGGCUGGGUAUUGAUCUGUAUGCAGACUGUUUGGAAUUUAGAAAACGCUUUCUCUCUCCACAAGUCUGAAUUGUUCGACUAUCUCCCUACAGACUCCGGAAAGUCAGCGUUGAGGCUCGAUGUAGAUCAAGAACUUCUUUGUUCCAGGCAGCCCUUACUCUUCACCUUAGUUGAGUGAAAACCCUCAUGGCUGAACUCGAAGGGUGGAAAGUCUACAGGGGGAACAAAGCAGCAUGGUGAGGAGGGAGACAAACAUUAGAAGACAUGUCAGAGAGAUCAUUACCCCCUAACACACAGCAGAGGCAGGAUUUUGAUCCUGUCUUCAUGUGUCCUGAUGCCAAUCUUUAUGCAUGAGUGUCAUGGGCACAUAGAGGAGGGGCCCUAAUUGCCUGGCUGGGGCUGGGGCGGGGGUAGCUGGGGGCAGGCUUUAGAAAAGGUGACUUCUAGCUUAGUCUUGAAGAUCAAGGGUUACGCUUCUCAGUUAUGCGUGCCAUGGUGUUAGGGACAAAAGAGACAGCAUGGGAGUGGAAUGUGGGGACACACAAUAGUCUGCAGUGAGACUGCCUAUAUUCAUUCAUCCGUUCAGUAAGUGGUUUUUGAGCAGAGGAUGGCAUUGGUAUGACAGCAGAAAAUCUAAUGAGUUUUCCUCUCCCCAUUCUUGGGGCUGCUGGGCAACUCUGUAGAUGGUGGUACCAUGCUGGCUAUGAAAAGCACAGGAGAUUGGAGGUGGCAGGGGAGAUGGUUACUUCUGAGUAGAUAAGCUGAGUCUGCCCAACUAGGGCAAAUGCCCACACGUGCCAUUUCUGGUGGAAUUGGUCUGAAUCGGUGUUUCGGUUAUCCCUUGCUGGCUGACAACCCACCCCCACAACUCAGUGGCUUAAAACAACCGCUAUUUUAUUUCUUUCUUGAUAAGGUAUUGAUACCACCUUUCUUGACUGACUUAGCUGGGUGGUCCUUCUGCUCCUUGUGAUGUCAGCUGGGGCUGCAGUCAACCAAGGUCAGGAUCGAGCUGUUUAGUCCACAGGCAACUCAAGGGAAUUGCUGCUGUUACAACCACAGCUGGAUCUUUAAACUGCUAACCAAAGCUAAGGAAUGAAUAUUCUCCAAUGCAAAUGAGCAUGCCAUGCGGUGACUGUGGGCGGGGACCCUCCUCAAGAUCUUGGGGAGAGAGACUGCACCGGACUUGUAACGCUUUACACUGCUCAUCACUGAAUAUUUAAUUCUUGGAGGAGAAAGAAAAACUUUUCAUGUUCAGUUACUACUCUGUCAUUAAAGUUCUAUCAUCCACUUAGGUUUUGUGCUUUGUAGGGUUUUAGAGUCAUCCAUCACGAUGCAUUGGAACAUUUAGUAGCAUAGGUCGAAAGGAAGACGGGCUUCAGAUUAUUAAAGACAUUUCAUUAUUAAUAUAAUGUUUCUUUCAGGGUUUGUGAUAAGAGCAGUUCCACAUAUUUCCCAUGGUAAGAAUAAAAAUGAAACGAGCUAUGUGAAAAUACUUUGCCUGCUGUCAUUAUCACUAACAAUCACUCAAUAAAUAAGCGACCACGUCCUGGGUA